GGGAGAAAGCUCAGAGAGGUGGACCACAGGCGUGCUGGGUAGAGAAAAGCAGAAGAGGAAGAAGACGUGUCCUCGGCCCCCUUGAGUGAAUAGCCAUGGAGCUCCUAAAAAGAAUGGGACCUUUCACUUGACCUCCCUUCUCUCCCUUGCCUACUGCCCCUGAGCGAGUGCUUCAGCUACAGUCUGGGAGCCGAAGAUGCCUGUGUUUGAUGCCUCCAGCACCCUGUCUCUGCAUCUUGAAUCCAGCCACGUGACCAUCUCUUGCCCACCUUUGGCCAAUGUCCCUGAGACAUUUCAAGUGCAUCAUGCUGCAGACUGGUGUUGCUGUCUCCACAAUACCGCGCUUCCCCUGUGUCCCCAUCUCAGUCUUUGGUCCCACUAUCCACUUCCCACAUGCAGCCAUUGAGUCCUCUAUUUUUCUUCCUUAAAUCUCCAGAAUCUGC